ensembl:lncRNA
AUGUCUCCCUCUCCCAUGUUGUAUUUAUUUAUUUUUUUCUGCCAGAAUCUGUCAGUUACAGUGAAAAAUUACAACACAGAUCACAGCAUGCCCACUUUAGUUAAUUUUUUUUUUUUUUGUUAUUUUAUUGAACUGAAAGCAGUCUUAAACAAUGCACAUUGUGCAUUUCACACACGUUUUCUAUUUUAUUAUUUUUCAUUUGAGCAUAGACAUUGCUCAAGUUCACAUUUUAAGAGCAAGUGAGAGCACAGGUGCCUCCAUCUGUCCUGCUGUUCAGUGUCCACACACACUUCAAUAGCGUACAUUUCUGUAGGUCAACAUUAGACUGAAAAGUUAUUACUACAUAUUUUCGAUGAAAAGCUAUAUUUGAGGACUAUGAAUGAUAAGUGGGCUUUUGGAUGUACUGCCCGAUGUAGGCAAUUGUAUUACCACAUAGACCAGCCUUUACCGAUCUCUCCUUUAUCAGCCACACCAGAGCAAACAGGAGGACAGCAUAAAGACACAGGGCGAGUACAAUUGAGUUCAUAAUUAAAAUAUAAGCCUAUAGUUUAUACUUUAUUUAUUUAAAAGGUAGGCUAUAUUUGUGUAGAAAGUUGGGGAUCAAAGUGUUAUUACGAUUCCAGUUCCCACCAAGAUUUUUUCCCAUCCUGUCCCAAUCCCGUGAUAGUGAUUAUGUUUACAAUCAAUGUCAGCCUCUAGUGUGAAGAUGGAUAACCAGCGUCAGCAGGCAAAUCCCGGACGAUCUCAGGUAAUUGGUCUUAAAUAUUUUGUUAGUGGGUGACAGAAACAUUCCCUUCGUGUGAUAUAUAAUGCACAUCUUAUCAGUAAAGCCGGUUGUGUAAUCAGCGGUAAAUCUCCAUCACCUGCACGCUUUCACAAGGAGCAGCAUUAGCGUUCGACUUGAAGCAGCUGCACAGAAUGAUCACUGCAGGGCUGCCAACUCUCACGAAUCUGACUUCAAUCUCACGCUGAAGUCCAAGCAUGAGUGUCACGCCAGAUGCAUGAGAGUUGGCAACCCUGAACACUGUAUUACAUCAAAGUACCGCGCGAGCGAUCCGAAUGCAUUGGAUCCGUGUGCUCUCUUAUCGCUCGCGCGGUAGCUACUUUUUGUCAUACAGUGAUCAUUCUGUGCAGCUGCUUCAAGUCGAACGCUAAUGCUGCUCCUUGUGAAAGCGCGCAAGUGAUGGAGAUUUACCGCUGAUUACACAACCGGCUUUACUGACAAGAUAAAUUAAAUAUUGCGUGUGAUUUAUCAUGCAGCCCAACUGCCUAAAAUAUAAAGUAUUGGUAAAUAAACCAAACUAACAAGACACGUGUUAACAGGAUAUCGGCCUACUCAGACUACAUAGGCUAGUGCUUGCAGAAAAUACAAUAAUACACAAAGGGAAUGUUUCUGUCACCCACUAACAAAAUAUUUUAUAUAUUUUAUUUAUGCUUAUUAUUUUUCGAUCUGUGACUGCAAUACAUUUGGCGGGAUUCUAAUCCCAUACUCGACUUUUUACAAAUGCUGGAAAGAAACGUGUGCUACGGAAACCCUCGCGAUAGCACAUUUGCCUGUAAGUGACUGAUUCAACUGUCAUGAUAGUUUUGCAGUCCGAACGUAAUCGUUUUGCCAUGAUCGAUCAACGUCAUUUUGAUCAAAAUCUAAGAAACUAUUAUUAUUAUUUAUAAUAGAUCACAAUUACGAUCGGUGGGUCCGUGAUUAUUUCCAUGGUGGCCAUGGCAACCCCUGGCCACCCCCUAGCUCCGCCCCUGAUACUACAUGGUUGAGUAUAUAGUCUACAGUGCAUCAUUUGGGAUGUAGCUAAAGUUCCAAAAACAUCUCGUCACUGCACAAGAUUCCGGUAUGCUCAGUUUCAAAUGAUUAUAAAACAACAAGUACAAACUGUGCAAAAGCGGCAGUGGUUCUGGCACACUCAGUGUCCAAAUCCACUCACUCGUUUGAAAUCACUCCUUCAACUGGUCUACGGUAUAUUAGUGGAAUAGUAAUGAGAGCAUAGUUUGGUGAUUUCGAGCAUUUAGUUAAACCAUUUUAGAGAUAAAUUUCACUAAAUUAAUCAAGUUACAUAUAAAUCUCAGAUACUACAAACGUUGAGUAUGUAUUACUUAAUCUCAGCCACAAGUAACUUUGCUUUAUUAUUUUCUGAUUUUAUUUGUCAUUUUAUUUGCUGCCUCUGUCCUGCAUGUUACUAAUGUCUUUAGAAAUGUUUAAAGUCUUAAAAUUCUACUUGAUUGAUACCAUUGUUGUGUUCCGAAUGCUGAAUGUUGAGAUCUGUGUGAGAAACAAUUGAAGUCAUUUGCAAGAUAUUGUCUCACUUUAAGAGGGAUAAUAUGUAAUGUAUGUACAAUUGCAAUAAAAGUAUGCUUUAUAUGAAACACUAUAAUUAUAAUUAUUCAAUUGUUUACUCGCCCUCAUGUUGUUCCAAAUCAAUACUAAUAAUAAUAAUAAAUCAUCUUGAAACAUAAAUUAACAAAUCUGUAAAAUUCCUAUCCAUUUAUUGAAAGUGUCUUCACCCAAAAAAAAAAAAAAAAAAAAAAAAAACAGUCUGUGAAACCUGUGUAAUCUAAUGUUUAACGCACUUCAUGAUGUUGAUAACAAAGACCUAAAUACAUAUAUAUAUAUAUAUAUACACACAUACAUGCACAGUGCUGAUUGAAAGUUUGUUAACCCUUUACUAUUUUCUAUAUUUCUGCAUUAAUACGACCCAAAACAACCAGUCCUACAAGUCCUAAAAGUGGACCAGGAGAACACAAC